rnacentral:lncRNA from 1 species
AGAGAAUGUAAGGACCAUGUCGAAUUGAGUUCAUUUAUCGAUCAGGAGUUUCCUUUCCACAUCCCAUAAAGAAAAAGAGGCGGGUAAUCAAAAUGUAGAUACAUCCUUUUCUGCAUUUUCAUCAUUCGUUGAAUCUGAAAAUGAUUUGUCAGAGUUGUGGUCCAUGUCACAAUGGAAGAAUGAGAAAUAGAGCACUGGAUGGCAGAGUUUAAGGAAUUACCAUUGCCAAUAUUCUUCUUCCUAAAAAUUGUAAUGCAGUGUUGAUAGUCGCUAUUGGUGCCAUUACUUCAAACUUAAAAUGGAUUUGUUGGAUAAAAGCUACGAUGCUAUAAUUGACAGAAUAAAUACAAGGGUGAUCUGAAAAACUUCGGACCUAACAAAGAUACAAAAAAAAAAUUCUCAAUUUUAUUUUUAUUUUUCAACAAACUCUCCCUGUAACUCUAGUUUUUCCCUUUAAAAUAAUUAUUCAUGAGACAUCUUUUAUUUUGGGCUCAAAUUACUCCGAGUUGAAUGGACUUAUACGCGUCAAAUUUUAAUACUACAAGCAAUUUAUAUGUUUAAUAUUGUUUGAAUUUAUUUAAAGGGUACACUUUUAAAAAUAAAUAGUUCAUGACAGUUCAAUACUCUAUUUUUGGACAAAUCUAUACCUUUUUUAGACCACCGGUCUAGAACAAACUUUCACUAAAAAUAGUAAUGGCUUCCAACUAAUCUAGGAUCUUUAGACAAUAGCCCAACAUUUUCUGAAUAAUAAACCAGUAUGUGCCUAAAAUGGGAAGGAAUUGAAUUAAACUACUAUCCUGAAAAGUUUCAUUGCUAUUUUAAAUUACCAUGGCUUUAAAAAUUCUGCUUUGUUGCCGUAAAACAUCACUUUACGCCCAAGUGAAACUUCUUCAGGACAUUGUAAUUGCUCUAUUGUGACCAAAGGUUGCACCCAUCUUGGUCACAGCUUUCUCAUGUCCAAAUUUACAGAUAAUAUUGGAUGUAUCGCACUUUUUGAAAUUCUUAUAAUGUCAUCUAUCUCGCACACUUUCAGUCAACGAUUCCCAAGUGUCACUUUGUUGGUAUUCUUAAAAAAUUUCUGGAGUAGUUACCGUCCUUGACUACUGCGAUGCUCGCCUUGGAUGCGUGACGGCCUCUUUUAAAUUUUUCUACUUAAAAUUUUACUUUUGUAAACAAAAAAACAAAUUCUUCAGAGUAAAAUCCAGUUCAUCUUUGAUAUUGGUUGUGCUAAGGAAUUUAAAAUGAAAUUCGUUAAUCACAUAAGGAUGACCAAUCUUCUCUAUAUUUACGAAUUCAUUGACAAUGUUCCCUAUUGCUGGAUGCCAAACAAAUAAGAAAUAACUUGGCCACUUCAAACUUAAAAAAAAAAAAAUUAUAGAUUGUGUUCUUUCUAUUACAUUGAUUUUUUUUUAAAUACCGCCAUCUCUUUGGCAGGCUGUGGGAUCCUGGGACCACCCUCGUAUGCCUAUAAAAACUGAUUUUUAUAUUAGACCUUAUACACAACUAUAUUUGCUAUAUUAUUUAUAAUGUAUUUAUUUUUAAUAAUUCAUCUGUGGGUUUGCUGAGUAGUAUGAAAGUUUUCCAGAGCCACUCACUUACGAUUCUUAAUUCUAUAAAGUAUGUAUAAAAACAGACAUUCAAAAAUAAAUUAAUUUUCACCCUCA